AAAACGGGCCAAAAUCGGCAAAUAUCCUGAAGCCGAAAUCCACGAUUGGCGUUGAAGACGGGGGCGGAGCGAUCUGAUCUCCGGCGAGAAGAGCGGAGAUGGCACUGGGUUUAGCCGCCCGCAUCCAGCUAUUGCGAUUCCUCGCCGCGGUUCUUUUCUUCCAUGGCUCCGAGUACAUCCUCGCCGCCUCCAUCCACGGCCGCUCCAGCGUAACCUUGAGCUCACUUUUGAUUAGCAAGCAAUAUGCUGUUGCAAUGAUUUGUGCAUUGCUAGAGUACAAGAUAGAGCUAGUCUUCUUUCCAGAAUUGAAGGAGAAUUGGUGGAUGAGCAACAUUGGCCUUAUGAUGGUAAUAAUAGGGGAGGUCAUACGGAAAGCUGCUGUUUUAACGGCUCGCCGUUCCUUCACACACACCAUCAGAGUUUAUUAUGAAAAUCACCAUCAGUUGAUCACUCAUGGAAUUUAUAGACACAUGCCAGAUUUAGAAAAAGAAUUAGAAGCUGUACUAUUAAGGAGCUCUGCAAAAUACAGCAAUUCAGAUUCAUGCGCCAUCCAGGGUAUUGUGGCUUUUUUAUCUGGGCAACUGGAACUCAGCUUAUGCUCUGCAAUCCCAUAUGCAUCGUAGCCUUUACAAUGGUCACCUGGCGAUUCUUUUAUAGGAGGAUACGAUUUGAAGAGUUCUUCUUGAGGCAGUUUUUUGGCUCCCAGUAUGUGGAAUAUGCACGGCGAGUUCCUUCUGGACUUCCUUUCAUAAAAUGAGAAGCUGUGCAAAUUGACUUCUUACCAAAUGGGAAAAUGUCUGCUUCAGCAUCAACUUGUUUGCUAUCUGGCUGUGUGAAGGAUGCAGGAAACACAUUCAAGGCACGUAUCAAUUGAUCUAUGCAGUAAAUUUUGGCAUACUUAACCGGCCAAAUGAUGGUGGGGAGUUGUGGAUAAGUUGAAAUUCAGUCUCUCGCUUAUGGAUCCUUGGUCUUAGAAAGGAGCUGCCAGGUCUGAGCAGUGGCUGAAGAUGCUUGAUUAGUAACAGUCCUGUCCCAAACAGUAUGCUAGGCUUUUCUCAUCCAGCACAGCAGCAGUCAUUUUUUGUUUCUGUUCAAAGUGAGUUACCAAAUUUAGUUGUCUGAAAUUCUGUAUGUGCGUGCCCUGAGGUUUCUACAACUUCCUUCCUGUAGUAGCUACCAGCAUUGAGAGAGAUUUCAUAGUCGUUUGGUUCGCUCUAUGUGAUUUCAAGACUUGUUGUACUCCAUUGUAUUCGAACGAAAAAAAGACUUGUAAUCAAUGUCUGAAUCUCAUUCCCAAGGUGCAUGCAUGUGCAUGUUGACCAUGACUCUGUAACUAAUACAAUCGUGAAUUGUUACCUUCCUACGUGUGUA